CAACGCACUCCGUACGGGAGGCAGCAGUGGGGAAUAUUGCACAAUGGGCGCAAGCCUGAUGCAGCCAUGCCGCGUGUAUGAAGAAGGCCUUCGGGUUGUAAAGUACUUUCAGCAGUGAGGAAGGUGGGUAUGUUAAUAGCAUACUCAUUUGACGUUAGCUGCAGAAGAAGCACCGGCUAACUCCGUGCCAGCAGCCGCGGUAAUACGGAGGGUGCGAGCGUUAAUCGGAAUUACUGGGCGUAAAGCGCAUGCAGGUGGUUUGUUAAGUCAGAUGUGAAAGCCCGGGGCUCAACCUCGGAAUUGCAUUUGAAACUGGCAAACUAGAGUACUGUAGAGGGGGUAGAAUUUCAGGUGUAGCGGUGAAAUGCGUAGAGAUCUGAAGGAAUACCGGUGGCGAAGGCGGCCCCCUGGACAGAUACUGACACUCAGAUGCGAAAGCGUGGGGAGCAAACAGGAUUAGAUACCCUGGUAG
rnacentral:rRNA from 1 species